GAAGUUUGAUCCUGGCUCAGGACGAACGCUGGCGGCGUGCCUAACACAUGCAAGUCGAGCGGAGACAGUGAGUAGCUUGCUAUGAGCUGUUUUAGCGGCGGGCGGGUGAGUAACGCGUGAGCAACCUUUCCCAGACAGGGGAAUAACACACCGAAAGGUGUACUAAUACCGCAUAAGACCACGGAAUCACAUGGUUCUGAGGUAAAAGAUUUAUCGGUUUGGGGUGGGCUCGCGUCCGAUUAGGUAGUUGGUGAGGUAACCGG
rnacentral:rRNA from 1 species